GCUGGUGACGGUGGUGGGUGGCGCGCCUAGACUAGAGGCGAGACAAAUGAGCGAGGCGAGGCUGCGCGAGCGCCGCCUCUGCCAGCCACGCCCCUUCCCUCACACCCUGCGCCGAGCAGUAACGCAGCUCUCACGUCACUCACAUGUCAAACGUCUACACUAUGUUAAUACAACUUGUAAACAAUUUACUCGGUAUUUCACCGUGAGAUGUCAUGUAACUACAACGGUUUUCAUCCAUAUGGAUUUCUGUUUUAGGAUAUAAAACACUAUAUUCUAAACUGCACAUUUAUUGAAACAUAUAGUAUGCUGACGUCCUUAUACCCGAUUGAUGUCAUUAAUAAUGCAUAAUGGGUGCCGAGAUUACUUCGAGCCGAGCCGAGUACGAGAGGUAUGUGGUAGAGGAAGAUAAAAUUUAGAUUUAUGCAGCUGAAUAACGAGACGAGCAGGUGUUUAACUUAAGAGCGCCUUACUUACCCACAGAUAGCAGCAAUAUGAAAGCAUGCAGUGGUGCUUCAUUUGCAGGCAGGGAAAACAUAAACCUUAGUUAGUACCCCCCCAGAAAAAAAACGCCCUGUUCAAAGAGUGAAGAGACCUCUUUGUACAAUAUUAAGGGGGUAAAGUGUCCCGAGCAGUUCAUGUGCUACAAUAGUCAAGAUAAGCUUCUCUGCAUCCUUCUAUUUACCGUCAGUAAUGUCGCAUUGCGAAGCGCCAUAUUAUAAUAAUAAUUAUUAUAUUAUAUAAUAAUUAAUAAAUUAUAUUAUGUUUACUCAAAAAUCCUUACUGUUUUGUUACUUUUGAUAAAGCACCUCAGACUGCCACUGUAACCAUUCAGAGACGGUUUGAUGACUUACUAUCGCAAAUAUCCCAAUUUGCUCGUUUAUCCGCCUCAUAAUAAAGAGGUUUAAAAGUCCAUAGAAACAAUUAAGAGAGCUUGAAACCUCGGCGUUUUCCUACGUUGCCUCUUAUAAUAAACAACUAAUUAGAACACCUACUAUCUUGAUCAAUCGCCAAGACGCAACAGACUUAUCUGUAUUAGUAACAUGCAGAUUAUCGUGAAUUAUUGUAUUACCUAAGUAUUAUUUAAACUACCGACCAUAACUGUCGUUUUUGCGUUUUAUACAAAUAUUAAAUAUUUACUUUAACCCCUUAGAGGAUAUAAAUCCCUGUAUAGCGCUUAGCGAUUUCGGGUGUGCGUUGAUCGAUCAGUCGGCCAGUCGGUUUUACUCUUUAUAUUAUACUAGAUAUCACUCGCGCCUUCACCCGCAUAAAAAGCUUUCUCGCUACCGAAACGUUUAUAUCACAGCAAUGAUGUUUAGCGCUAUUUGCACGACGCACGCGCCCUCUACUUAAAAACGCAUUAAAAAAAAAACAAAUAUUUCCCACAGGAGCAAAUUAGCGGAAUAAAAGACCCUAUGUGUUACUGCUACUGCUGUCCCGGACAUAGUCUAUCUGUGGAGGUUUGAAUGUUACAAUGUUAAAAGUAAUUGCACAAACAGCGGUUUGAAUGUAACGCGUUUGAAUUUUAUAAACUUUCUCAGUUAUAAAAUUAGUAAAAAAAUAGAUUGUAAAAUAAUAUAAGAUAUAGAUAACAUCCGACAAGAUCGGUAAGACGGAUAUAGCUUAUUCUAGCAACCAACAAGAAAUACAAUGCUUCCCAUUCAAUUUGGUCUACACAGUGCUCAUCAUGUCUGGUGUACUUUGAUGCGUUAGGAUAAACACAUAAGUCAGUGAAACAUCUCCAGCACUGCAACUAUCACGUCAUAAAAGGAAAAAAGUGUGAACAAUUUAUUCAUCCAUUAAAUCAGUUCGACGCGCCAAACUCUACCCGAUUCACAAUUAUCUUGAUAUGUUUAAAGAUUUUUUAUCUCAGAUACAAAGCAUCAACAAAAUCAGCCCGGUAACACUCGGUUCUCACGGAUAAUACAUUUUAUGAUGUAGGUAAGUCUUGUAGCUUUCAGCUUUGAAUUGUAGCCAAUAAUAGAACAAUAGUUUCAACUUGAAUAUUAAAACAGUAUGACGAGCGAAUCACGACAACUAACAACAUCAAAUUUAAUUACAAAGUACUGCUUAACACCACCCAAUAGGUACCUACCUAGUCAUUUAGUUGGCUUCAAACCCUUUAAAAGAAAAAUUAUAUUUUUUUGCAUACAUGACACCACAAACAGCGGUAAAGCGGGCGUGACUCACAUCUCCUGUAAGUGGAGUUAUAAGACGGUACGUAGAAAAUUUGUAUCACCAAAGUAAUGGAUGAUAAUAUUAUGAAUGCUGCCAAAUCUUUCUUAGUUGAGCAUUUAAAUUCAGUAUUAAACUCACUGGUCCAUAUAUCCCAAAGGGAUCUGUUGUACUCAGAUUUCUGUUUAGCACGAAAGGCUGUUCAUAAUCACGCGUUUUUUAUAGGAGAUGAAAGACAAAGUAGCAGUAUUAACGUCUGAUCGUACGUAUAGUAUGUAUGUAUGCCCCCGCCGCAAACAUACACAGUGACAAAGAAGUUACGGGCGCGUUACGGAUUAUUUCGGGACUCUUUAUUUUUUAUUGCUUUGAAUGACGAGACGAGCUCGCCGUUCGGAUGAGUUUAUGUUGGAUCUUUUGCCACUAAAUACAAUAUCAAGCUAAAAUAUGCUGAAUUUUCACAGUGACACCACUCGGAGUCUGCGUCACGUUCUUUACGCGGCUCUAUCGUAUAAAUGGUUUUCAUUGCAAAAGGUACCUAGAUUAACGAGGUAAUAAUAUAGGGUAGCCAAUUGCUAAGUUAUCACCACAGCUCAUAUAGUAGCAAUAUACAUUUACCAGAGUGGUUGUGACCGCAUUUCCAUUUUACAAUUACGUAAGGAGAAAGUAAAACUGCACUUAUUAUCAGAAUAUGCUUUAUGCUUCAAUUUGAAUACAUCGGCACUCUCCGUGCACUCGUGGUCACGUACAGCCAACAUGACCCACAUUACGCCGGCGGCCACUUCACCCAUAUCACAAAGCAAACAAAAUUCACUUUAUAAGAAAUUCGCACUGGCGACACCAUAUCGCACUCAAUAUAU